rnacentral:rRNA from 1 species
GAUGAACGCUAGCGGCAGGCUUAACACAUGCAAGUCGAGGGGCAGCAUAAAUAGUAGCAAUACUAUUGGUGGCGACCGGCGGACGGGUGCGUAACGCGUAUACAACCUUCCCUAAACAGGGGGAUAAUCUGGAGAAAUUCGGUCUAAUACCCCAUAACAUCAGAGCAGGCAUCUGUUUUGGUUAAAAUUUCCGGAGGUUUAGGAUGGGUAUGCGUAGCAUUAGCUAGUUGGUGAGGUAACGGCUCACCAAGGCGACGAUGCUUAGGGGGACUGAGUGGUUACACCCCCACACUGUUACUGAGACACGCACCAGACUCCUACGGGAGGCAGCAGUGGGGAAUAUUGGUCAAUGGGCGGAAGCCUGAACCAGCCAUGCCGCGUGCAGGAUGACGGCUCUAUGAGUUGUAAACUGCUUUUGUACGAGGGUAAAGUGGGCUACGUGUAGCCUUUUGAAAGUAUCGUACGAAUAAGGAUCGGCUAACUCCGUGCCAGCCGCCGCCGUAA